UGUAUAAACAUAUAUUCACGGUAUUGACUGGCGUAUUGGGAAAUGAACAAGUUGACAUGCUGUCUGUAGAAUGUAAUAUGACUCAAAUUUUCUGGGGUGGGGUAAUGAUAUAGCCAAAUAUAAUACCUCUAAUUAUCUAUUCUUUUCAUGUAGCCAUUUCAUAUUUAGGUGUUAUCUUAAGAAAAUGAUUCAUUUUCAGGGAAAACCUAAUUAAUGCUGUGCUUUGAGUAAAUUAAAAAAAAAUGGAAACCUACCUCAAUUUUCAAUUAUAAUGGAUUGGUAAAUGAAUUAUGAUAGUUUCAUAUGAGUAAUUACUCUGUACUUAUUAAAUAUGUCCUUGAAAAGUAUUUAAUGAUAUAGAGAAAUGCUGAUGAUACAUUGGUAGGUGAAAAUAAGCUAAUCAUCAAAGAAAACAUGCAAAAUGAUCUCAGGACUAUAGGAUCCCACCUAUUUUUCUUUGAAUUUUUCCUAAAUUUUCUAGGAUAUACAUAUAAUAAUUGCAUAGAAGAAAGAAAUCACUAAAAGUCCAUGAACCAUCCAAAAACAUUUUUCUAAUUUUUAAACUAUAAGUAGAAAAAUGAAUGAACAGGAGUUCAGAAUAUGCUCCAAAAAGAAAGAGAGGAGAUAUAUAGUAUAAUUAAUAGCAUGCAUUUAGGAAAAAAUACAAAUUAAAUCUUAGCUCUGAUAAUGUCUGAAAUUGGGUGAAUUAUCACAUCUCUUUUAACUGUAUUUUCCUGACCUUUAAAAUCGAUAGAGCAGCAUUGUGUCUCAGAUUUUUGUGACUAUUAUAUAAAAUAAUUCAUAUAAUUUAGCAAUGUUUGUUACAUAAGUAGUUCUCAAGAAAGUUUAGUUAUUAACUUUAUUAUUGUUCCCAAAUGAAACUUUUAGUCUACUAAUUCCAACUUCGGUAAAUACAAAGAAUCUUUAUACAGUAUGAGUCACUCAGUAAAUCAGGAUAUCCUAUGUAAGUAACUAGCUGAAUUUGCUUUUUGCUAAUUCUCAUACUUUCUACCCUUAUCCCCUCUUUUUGAACUCCAGAUUCCUCCUUCCCUGCCUGAUUUCUUUCUCUCCUUUUUCUAUGCACAUGGGAAAUACUGCCUUUUAACACACUGGAUACUUUAGUUAUUUCAUAUGUGUAACAUUUAUUAUCUGUUGUAAGAUUCUCUAGAGAAGGGUCCUUAGUUUGUGUUGUUUAUUACUAUACAUUGGCUUUUAGAACAGUGCCUGGCACAUAGCAGACACCCAAUAAAUAGUUGCAGAAUUUUUAAGUGAUGGAUUUGAUCUUGAUUUACCUCUAAAAAAUUCAUAUAUCUUAGGAUUCUAUACAGCAAUGACCUUCCAAAUUCAUACUCUGCAUAGGACUGCUUCACGUAUUGGAUGUGUACUUAAGGAUCGGGUUUAUAUAAAGGUCACAUAUUUUGUGUCAUGUUUUUUUCAGACCUUAGUAACAGGAAUAAUUCCAAAGUCCUUAAGAAUAAGUUCAUGUAACUUUAAAUAGAGGAAUAAUCAUUGGCUGUCAGCUUUUUCUUUCCCUGAGUUGAGGUUGAGAUUAUCUGGACAGAGAUAAUAUUUGGUGCAUUCACUGGAGAGAUACAACAGCAUAUGGGUGGUCUGAGAUAUAUUCUAAGUGAUUAAAUGCAGGAUGUGUGGGGGAGUGGAAGACUAAAUAAUUUAAAUAUGCCCAAAAAGAGGAAAUAUAAAUUAUCAUAUUUUAUCUUUUACAUUUAUUAUAUAUAUAACACCACUGGAUCCCACCCUCACCCUUCAUCCUCUUCAGUCAAGAAAAUAUUAUUUUCUUCAGUUUGGGAUUAAAUAUAUUAGAAUCCCAGCUGGUACUAAGAGAAUCUUUCAUUUCAUUUAUUAAAAAUAUUUUUAUAAUUAUUAGCAUCCUCAUUAUCAUUUCUUGUAUUUUUUCCUUCAUUUGUAAAUGUGGUUCAUUUUGUUGAAAGAAUAUUUCAAAAUUAAAGAGCAUUAAAAAGAGUGAAGAGCCCUAAAAAACUGAGGUUUUAUGUUGAAAGCAUUUCUCUGAACACCUGUGAACUGUUGAAUUUAAUUGGGCUACAGCUGGAACAGGCUGUGGAGCGGAGAGAGUAGGCUGGCAUUUCUAAGCAGUCAUACAUUAAAUUCACCCUGACUUUCCUCCGACAGGCUAGAAAGCAGAAUGGUCAUGAAUGACUCAGGCUAGAUUAGCACACACAUACUCUCUUCUCUAUUUUAUCUAUAUCUGUUUUCAAAAUAGGAUCAGGGAAAAGUUUAAAUGACUUGCAGUAUUUAAUAGGUUAACUCUCCCCGUAAUAUUGGCAUUUAGUAUAGACACUGCCUUAAACUGGAUUAAUAAGGAAGAAAUUAUGGAAUUUAAGUAAGCAGUGUAGCAGAGUCAGGAAAGCUUGAUAGGUAGUUAAAAAACACACUCAGUGCACAGCCUGGUGCAUGUUCAGUGCUCAGUAAUUAAUGAAGUAGUGUUCUGCAUGAGGAUGUUUUUAGGAGAGGUGGGUUUUUCUGGUAAUACCAGUAAUACUGAAAAAUUAAUUCCAUGUCAUAAUUGGCUGAGGAAUGUGCAUAAAUAUCAGGAAUGGGAACAAAAUUUACAGAAAAUGAAAAUUCCAGAAAAUAUCCAAAAAUAAGCUUUGUGGUCAUGAAAAAAAAAUUUUUUUUUGAAAAAAGAAGUGAAAGAAAAGGAGUCAUUACUUAAGAAUCCCAUUCAAAGAGUUGCUAGCCUGUAAAAAGGGUCAUUUCUUCAGGAAUCAAUUCUUACAAGCUAGUCUCUGUAUCUUAUACAACUCAUCUGGAAACUGGGAAUACUUUUCUGUAUCACUGUCUGCUAACAGAGUUUCAAGCAUCAAAUUAGAUUUCAAAAAUAAAAACAUAUUAUAAAAAGUAAAGCUAAAUAUGUAGUUUCUAGAAUUAUUGGUUGAGAUAAUGUUGAAUUUAAACAAAGGAUCCAUAGCAACCCAGUUCUGUCUCACAGAGACCAAAAUAACACCAACAUUUUGCUCAGAAAAACGUUUGGAUUUUGUAGAAAGAAAUGAUAAAAUUUUAAGUCAUUUUAUAUUUUAAAAUUAUAGUAUAAAUUCCAGGUAUAUAUAGCAUUGUUGUUCAACGUCUGUAUACAUUAUAUAGUUAUCACCAUCACAAGCAAAGUUAUCCAUCACCAUAUAGUUGAGCUUCUGUACUCAUUUUAACCACUCACCAACUCUGUUCCUUUCUGGUAACCAUUAAUCUUUUCUCUGUAGCUAUGAGUUUCUUUUUCCUUUAUUCUGUUUAUUCUUUAUUUUUCUUUUUGAGAGGAGAGAAUAUUUAUUUUUAUAUAUUUUUUAGAUUUUUUUGGCCUCUAUUAUUUUUGUUAUUAUUGAAGUAGAGUUGAUAUACAAAGUAUAUGCAUUGACCUCAUCCUCAGAGUUUACAAGCUUUCAGUUUGAUUUGGCAGAAGCAUGAAGCUGUGAGCCUCAUAAGAUAGGAGUUGUUUUAUUGAAAAUAUGCAAACGGUUCAGGAAUCAACAUUGCCCAAAUUUUCAUUAACUCAUUGCUGAAUGAAAAGGACAAGAACUUUCAUUAGGUAAUCAUGCUAAAAGACUGACACUUUGGUACAGAGAGUGGUUAAAAACCAACAUAACUAGGUACAUACAAUCAUGAGAAGAAGAAUAAAAUUAGGAGGAGGAUGAAAGAGAUGUUCAAUUAAUAUAAUAUCACAAAUAAAAGAAAGGAUUAUUUUAAACAUGCUAAAUAUUUAAGUACCUUAAGUUAUUAGUGGAGUUUAAUACUUUGUGGUAAAUGAGAUAUGUAACACAUGUUACGCAAUAAUAAUCAAGUUAAAAUUCCCUGAAAUAAAGAGGGCAAGAAAUUUGAAUUUGGGGGACUCUCAGGUAAAAAUGAAAAAUUGCCAGUAAAACACAUUGUGGUUAAGAUAUUGAUCUAAAGAGAUGAUAAAGAAUAUAUUAAAGAGCUGCAUAAAAAGAAAGCAUGAGUGAUGUGAUUUCAACUGACUUCAGACACUCCAUGGCAGCAUUCAAACUGUAUGAUAGAGAUAUGAAAUAAUUUCACUCAAGGAAAAAGUUGCUCACCUAAGCAGUUUUGGAAAUGAGUUUAGCUUAUGAGGCUGAAGGCAAAAGGUGUUAUACAUAAGCACUUUAGUUGAUAAAGGUAUUUCCCACUAGGGCAUAGUUUAAUAAAAUGUAAAACCGCUAUACAUUUAUAUGGAUUUUUUUGCAUUAAGCAAAUGGGUGAUGGAUGGUGAGAUCCAGGUUUCUUACUGUUAGAGUAAGAGGUUACAAAUAAACAAGGUAGGAAGCCUAGAAUGACCCAUGUGGUAUUGAAUUAGAGUUGGAAAUGCCAGUGUAAAGUCAGGUUUAACUUUAUACAGGUACAGAUGUGUACUUUUAGAAAUUGUAGAUAUGUGUACACAGUUUGCUCUACUUUGUGUGCAAAUAUAUCCAUUUACUGUGUCACUUAAAAAGGCUAAUAUUCAAUGACCUCUCAGGAGCACUAAGUGCACACAGUAUCUAGAUCUUGGUUUUUAAUACUACUUUCUAGCGAAAGGAACUGUGAUUCCUUGGAGAAAUGGUUGAUUCUAGGAUUGAGUCAAAGAACAUACAAAUGAACCUAUAAUAUCUUGUAGUACCAGAGAGUGAGGGAGUGCUGAAAAACAAAACAAAACACAUAUUGAUGGGACCAUGCCAAAGAAAUCAACUAAGAGAGCUCCAAAGCUAAAAAUAUUUGAGCAAAAAAAUAAAUACAGUAAUGAAAUUCAAAGGGUAAAACCAUAAUCCAUGAGUCCAUACUGACAUAAAUAAAUGAUUGAAUGAAGAAGGAAAUUGCAAACAAUUAACAAAUGUUCCAUGUGGUAUUCCAAAUAAUUUAUGUAGAUGCUACCCUUUUAAGAAAGUACAAUAACUCUUGGAGUUCCGUUGUGAUUCAGUGGUUAACAAACCCGACUAGCUUCCAUGAGGAUGUGGGUUUGAUCCCUGGUCUCCCUCAGUGGGUUAAUAUUUCAGCGUUGCCGUGAGCUGUGGUAUAGGUCACAGAUGCGGCUCAGAUCUGGUGUUGCUGUGGCUGUGGCUGUGGCUGGAGGCCACAGCUCUGAUUGGACACCUAGCCUGGGAACUUCCAUAUGCCAUGGGUGGGGCC
rnacentral:lncRNA from 1 species